AAAAACAAAAUAGUCCCGCGGUAUACCGCGGGUUAAAAUCUAGUGUUGAUUAAAACAGUG
rnacentral:sRNA from 1 species